GCCUAUAAUCCCAGCUACUCGGGAGGCUGAGACGGAAUCCUCGAACCGCAGUGGGGCGGAGGGUGCAGUGAGCCAAGAUUGCGCUACUUCACUCCAGCCUGGGUGAAAGAGUGAAACUCACGUCUCAAACAAAGGUGGGGGGACAAAAACGUAUGUCAGAGACCCCCCACCCCACCCCAGGAAUCCUCAAACCAUAUUUGAGAGUUGGGAUAGAGGAUUUGGGACAUAAAUCAAUGUAAUGGUUAAUUUUAGGUGUCAACUUGACUGAGUUAAGGAAUACCUAAACAACUGAUGGAGCAUUAUUUCUGGAUGUAUCUCUGAGGGUGUUUCCAGGGGAGACUAGUAUGUGAGUCAGUGGACUGAGUGGAAAAGAUCUGCCAUCAAUAUCUUUGGGCACCUUCCAAUCAGCUGUGGGCCCAACAGAGCAAAAGGCAGAGGAAAGGUGAUCUCUCUCUCUCUCUCUCUCUCUAACACUCUUCUCUUGCUCUUCAAUAUCACAACUCCAAAGUCUCCAGCCUCUGGUCUUUGAGACUUACACCAGUGGCCCUGAGGUGGCAGAGUGAGAAUCUGUCAAAAAAGAAAAGAGGGAAGGAAAGAAGGAAGGAGGGAAGGAGGGAGGGAGGAAGGAGAAAAAAGUAACUGGAAAGAUGGAGUUGUGAAUUUCUGAGACGGAGAAAUGGAGAGACAGGGAGCAAGAUGGGGGUGGUGCACAACCAAAGGUUCAGUUGUGGAUACAUUAAGAUUGAGGAGCCUAUUAGAGAUGCACAUGGAGAUGCAGAGUAGUCCAUUGAAUAACCAAGAAUCCAGGUGAGACCUCAAGGCUGGAGAUAGAAAUUCCAUACUCAACUUUCCUGUAUGUUUGAAGAGUUUCAUGAUAAACUGUAGUGGGUAGAGGGAAAAAUUGCAUUUUGUUAUUCAUAACAGAGUCCUGAAUACCAUUGGCUUUGACAAAAUGAGGACCGCUUUUCAUGUCAAUAAAUAGGGAUGGUGGCCAUCAAGGGCUGAUCUAAGAGCUUGAAAUGUCAUACAUGCCCCAGCUUAGUUCUGUCUUUAUUUUCUUCUGUCUUAGCAUGUGGCUUGCAUCUUCAGUGUUGCCUCAUGGUCACAAAAGGGCUCCCCAGCUCCAAAGUCCAUAUUCUACAUAAGAGGAGGUAGAACAUAGGGGUAGUAUAAGGGUCUCCCAGCUGUUUUAGCCUCCCCUUAAAUAAUCUCUCUGAAAAACAAAACUUCCACCCUCAAGCAAUUGGCUCAAACCUAGUCCCUUGGCCUCCCCUGUCUACAAAUGAGAUGGACACCUUGCAAUAAGAAAAUAGGAUUUUAUUACUGAGAAAAGUGGAUCUGGUAUUGAGCAAGCAGCCAGCCAACUCUACCAAGAGCCUCAGUUCAAACUGUUGUAGUAUCAUUUUCUAUCAGUCAAGAUUUCAGCUAAGUCCUAGGGGUUUUAAUUACUUUAAGUGUCUGUUUUAUGUCAUAAACAAAUGAUAGGCCUUUAUAUUUUAUUUGUGACCCAACUAAAGUUGCAAGUGCUAGUGAUGUAGGACUUUUCUUCUUUAUCACUUUGCAAGCAGGGGACCUCUGGCCAGCAACACCCCACCCAAGCCUUGCUUGGCUACACUGGCAUGCCCCAGCUCACCUGUGUUAUAGCGUGUACCCACGUUCGGCAGUUCCUGAGCUCUUGUGCCAUGUCCAAGAAGAAUGAGGAUACACUAGACAUUGAAGGGUGAGGAGGGAUGAGAAGAAUUUUAUCAAGCGACUGAAUAGCGUUUAGCAGAGAGGGGAUGCUGGCACCCCUACCCGAAGGCGGGUGAAGUGACUCUCAACCCAAACACAGCCCCCACCCUCACCUCUUUCUUUAUUAGGAUUCAAAUCUGUUUGACUGAAGAUUCAUGUCAGAAACUGCCUGAGAAACCAGAGAGAUGUGACUCCUGGCCCUGUGUGCUAGGCCUGGAAGCCUUCACCUCAGAGAGACAUUACUAGGAGGUGGAGGUGGGAGAUGGGAAAUAAUGGUUGGUUGGAGUCUGUAGGAAGAAUGUGAUGAAGAAAAUUCUCCUUGCUCCUAAGAAUGGAAGCUGGGCUGUGGAGUCAUCUGUAAGUGGUACUGGGCUCUCUCUCCACUCAGGACCCUUCUAUUCUUGUCAGAGCCCAGCCCCCAGGUUGAGAUUUUCCUGGACUGUGAAGCAGGAGGCAUCUCCUUCUACAAUAUGAAUGACAGAACCCCUUAUCUAUGCUUUCCCCAAAGGCUUUUUCUCUGGCCCCCUUCGGCCUUUAUUCUUGUUGUGGUCAUGCGAUAAAAAGCCCCUGACCACCCAGCCACCCAAUUGUUGAUGGACUUUCAGGAGGUCAGUCUUGUGAAGCCUGGGGCCUAAGGAGAUUCUGUUAUCCAGAAUUCAGAAAAUUCUGCCUCCAGAAAUACAAAUAUGCUCUUUUCUAAACAAGUGACAACACAAUGUAGACACAGGCUCCCUUAAGCAGCCACCUCAUGUCAACUGAUAGUCUUUGCUCUCUAACCUCUCUCCUCCGAAGUCCAUUUCCUCUCCUGAGGCUUCAGCUGUUACUGUCAGACCCUCAGUUACUUCUGAUGGGCAGGGAUUAGGCUUGAGAAAAUGGAGAUACAUCUAGGUUGGCAUAUUACGGGGGACUUCUUAAUGUGCUUUUAUUGCUUUAUCUCUGAAAACAGGUUUUGGCAGUUUGGAAAUAAGUCUGAGGACAUAUAAAGGAUUGAGACUGAGUGACUCAGGAGUGCGAGAGGAAAUAUCUUAGUGUUGAGAACAGGGUUGAUGUGGAGGAGUAUUCUCUGUGUUAUGCACGCAAACAGAAAAAAA